CCAACGUGGAUACCCUGUGAGCAGGCACUCACAAGGCUCUGUCCGUGUGGCGUAUGGGAGCGUAGCACAUUCAGUGCCAUGACGUAUAGUCCCGUUCCACGCCGUUGGAGAAUAAGUCAGUCCCCGGCCUCCGGCUGGUGUGGACGGCGUCCUGUAUAUUCCUACAUCUUUCCAGAGCCCUUAGGGCUGUUACUGGGGAGGUAAACCAUGCAGUGCACAUUU